CAGUAGCCGCGGUAAUACGUAGGCAGCAAGCGUUGUUCGGAGUUACUGGGCGUAAAGGGUGCGUAGGCGGUCCUAUAAGUAUGGUGUGAAAUCUCCCGGCUUAACUGGGAGGGUGCGCUAUAGACUGUGGGACUAGAGUGUGGGAGAGGAAAGUGGAAUUCCUGGUGUAGCGGUGAAAUGCGUAGAUAUCAGGAGGAACACCGGUGGUGUAAACGGCUUUCUGGACCAUAACUGACGCUGAGGCACGAAAGCGUGGGUAGCAAACAGGAUUAGAUACCCGAGUAGUCCCUGUCUCUUAUAC
rnacentral:rRNA from 1 species